UCUCGGCUCUUGCAUCGAUGAAGAACGUAGUGAAAUGCGAUACUUGGUGUGAAUUGCAGAAUCUCGUGAACCAUUGAGUCUUUGAACGCAAGUUGUGCCCGAGGCCUUGUGGCCGAGGGCACGCCUGCUUGGGCGUCAUUGCAUCGUCGCUUUUGCUCCUUGCUU
rnacentral:rRNA from 1 species